UGGAGAUAUUCUGCUUUGGAAAAUGUCAAAAUCGUCUGCAAGCAAAGGUCAGGAAGCCGGACCAUUUGAUAAUGUUGUUAAGCUACAGCUGUCUUCUGUUGAAAAGAGGCUUCCAAUUAUUGUCUUACACUGGUGGGCAAACAGUAAAUCCCAGAAUAAUAGCGAUGGCCAUCUCCUCAUUUAUGGCGGUGAUGAAAUAGGAUCCGAUGAAGUCAUUACGAUCCUUACACUUGAGUGGUCGUCUGGAAUAGAGACUUUGAAAUGUGUUGGUCGUGUUGACCUCACUCUUAGUGGCUCAUUUGCAGAUACGAUCUUAUUACCAACUACAGGGGCAACAACACCUGAUGGAAAAGCUGCUUUAUUUGUUUUGAUGAGCCCUGGACAACUAAACCUUUUUGAUUGUUCAACCUUGGCCGACUUGGUAUCCAAAGAGGAGAAAAAAGUAUCUCUAUCAGCUAAGGAUUUUCCUGUAGAAUUGCCAACUGUUGAUCCUUCCAUGACAGCGACAAAGCUUACCCAGUUGCAUUCAGAUGGAAACUUAACGGAGCUUCUGCAAGAGUUCUUCGCAGCAACAUCAUCUGGGGCUAGCAGAUGGCCCUUGACUGGAGGGGUGUAUAAUCAUACUUCUCGAGCUGAGACUAACAGGAUUCAGAGAGUUUUUAUAGCAGGUUAUCAGGAUGGAUCUGUAAGGAUGUGGGAUGCCACUCAUCCGGUCCUCCUCCUCCUUUGUGUCUUGGAUAGAGAGGUUAAAGGUGUUAAUACAGUUAUAUCAAGUGCUUCAGUUUCAAAAAUAGAUUUCUGCUUCCAGACAUUAAGAUUGGCAGUUGGGGAUGCAAGUGGUCUGGUGCGUCUUUAUGAUUUCAAACAUAGUGAUAUGGGAAACUUCCACGUUGUUACUGAUGCUAAAAGUGAAGUUCAUGAGUUGGCACAAGGUCAAGGACCUACUUGCAGAGCUGUUCUAAAGCUUCUCGAUGUUCGAGUCCGAGCAAUUGAGUUUGUAAAUCAUGGAGCCAAACUUGUAGUUGGAUACGAAAAUGCUAAGGUUGCAGUGCUUGAUAUGACUUCAUUAUCAGUAUUGUUCUUGUCAGACUCCGCAUCUGCUGGUUGCUCUCCACUGGUCACUCUGAUUACAAAGAGAUUUGUGCAAAGUGACAGUAAUAGCAAAAGCCCAAAACAAUCAGAGCUUGCAGAAAAGCGUAUGGAGGAACUCAUGUUCAUUUUAACUGAGGAUGCAAAGAUAUAUGUAAUUGAUGGUGGUAAUGGUAAAACGUAUGGUUCAGGGCCCUUGCAUUUAAAGAAAGUGUCGACUGCAAUUUCUAUGUAUGUCAUAGAAAACAACAUCCCAUUUUCUUAUGUAAUUAGCAAGCAGCCAGAGUCCAGCAAGGAUGAUGCAGCUAGUAAUGAGCCUUCACAGGAAAUGACCACUCGUGACCUAAGUGAUACAGUUCCCUUCCUAGAAAAUGACUCCUCCAG
rnacentral:misc_RNA from 1 species